GUUGCUCCCAUGUGUGCAGGGAUGGGUUCCCCAGGUCUCCAGCUGUGAUCUGCUUUCCUUGCUCCCUGCGGACCGGAGCAUUUGGACAACUCUUCCUGAACAAACAGAGUUGUGCACUGUGUGGCGCCUCUGUCAUGGUGAUGGGAAAAGAGGCCUUCCUGUGUCUUCAGCAUUCCAGGCAAGGCUUCCGUGAGUGUCUGGUCUGCAGAUCACCUAUCCUGGGACCCCAGACACCAUCUCCAGCCCUCCUUUGUCACCUCUGUGGGUUUUUUCAAACAUGCGUUACCAUAAACAUCUGAACAGCAGCA